AUGGUUAUAUCAAAUUGGAACACCAGUUCUCAUAUGAUCACCAAAGUUAAGCAAUUAUCGAGCCUGGUCAAUACCUAGGUGGGUGAUCACUUGGGAAUACCAGGUGCUGUAA